rnacentral:rRNA from 1 species
CCUACGGGAGGCAGCAGUGAGGAAUAUUGGUCAAUGGCCGGGAGGCUGAACCAGCCAAGUCGCGUGAGGGAAGACGGCCCGACGGGUGGUAAACCGCUUUUGUCAGGGAGCAAGGUGCAGGGCGGGACCGGCUGUGAGAGUACCUGAAGAAAAAGCAGCGGCUAACUCCGGGCCAGCAGCCGCGGUAAUACGGUGGAUGCGAGCGUUAUCCGGGUUUAGUGGGUGUAAAGGGGGCGCAGGCGGAGGCACAAGGCAGCGGUAAAAGCGCGGGGCUCAACCCCGCUCCGCCGUUGAAACUGUGUCCCUUGAGUGCGCUACGGGUCGGCGGAAUGCGUGGUGUAGCGGU